AACGAACGCUGGCGGCAUGCCUAACACAUGCAAGUCGAACGAGACCUUCGGGUCUAGUGGCGCACGGGUGCGUAACGCGUGGGAACCUGCCUUUAGGUUCGGAAUAACUCAGAGAAAUUUGAGCUAAUACCGGAUGAUGUCUUCGGACCAAAGAUUUAUCGCCUUUAGAUGGGCCCGCGUUGGAUUAGCUAGUUGGUGGGGUAAAGGCCUACCAAGGCGACGAUCCAUAGCUGGUCUGAGAGGAUGAUCAGCCACACUGGGACUGAGACACGGCCCAGACUCCUACGGGAGGCAGCAGUGGGGAAUAUUGGACAAUGGGCGAAAGCCUGAGCCAGCAAUGCCGCGUGAGUGAUGAAGGCCUUAGGGUUGUAAAGCUCUUUUACCCGAGAUGAUAAUGACAGUAGCGGGAGAAUAAGCGCCGGCUAACUCCGUG
rnacentral:rRNA from 1 species